AUUCUUGCAAUGUAGGGGUGUGAAUUUUUAAGCACCUAACGAUUUAAUUCCGAUUCCUCGGGUGACUAUUCGAUUCAGGCUCGAUUCUCCAAUCAAACCGAUUCUUGCAAUGUAGGGGUGUGAAUCUUUGGGCACCUAACGAUUUAAUUACGAUUCCUGGGGUUACGAUUCGAUUCAGGAUCGGUUCUUGAUUCAACACGAUUCUUGAUUCAAACCAUUCUCGCAAUAUAGGUUGUGAAUCUUUGGCCACCUUAUGAUUCGAUCGGAUUCCUGGAAUGACAAUUCCAUUCAAAAUCGAUUAUCGAUUCAAAACAAGUCUCGAUUCAAACCGAUUCUUGGUAUGUGAAUCUUUGGGCACUUAACGAUUUAAUUCCGAUUCCCGGAGAGACAAUUUGAUUCAGGAUCGAUUCUCCAGUCAAACCGAUUCUUGCAAUGCUAGGUUGUGAAUCUUUGAGCACCUAAUGAUUCGAUAUAAUUCCUGGAAUGACAAUUCGAUUCAAAACUAUUCUUGGGGUGUGAAUCUUUGGGCACCUAACAAUUUAAUUCCGAUUCCUGGGGUGACGAUUCGAUUCAAGAUCGAUUCUCCAAUCAAACCGAUUCUUGCAACGAUUGAGCGCCUAAUGAUCCGAUCGGAUUCCUGGAGUGACAAUUUGAUUCAAAACAAGUCUCGAUUCAAACAGAUUCUUGCAAUGUAGGAGUGUGAAUUUUUAAGCACCUAACGAUUUAAUCCCGAUUCCUCCGGUGACUAUUCGAUUCAGGAUCGAUUCUCCAAUCAAACCGAUUCUUGCAAUGUAGGGGUGUGAAUCUUUGGGCACCUAACGAUUUAAUUCUGAUUCCUGGGGUUACGAUUCGAUUCAGGAUCGGUUCUUGAUUCAACACGAUUCUUGAUUAAACACGAUUCCCGAUUCAAACCAUUCUCGCAAUAUAGGUUGUGAAUCUUUGGCCACCUUUUGAUUCGAUCGGAUUCCUGGAAUGACAAUUCCAUUCAAAAUCGAUUCUCGAUUCAAAACAAGUCUCGAUUCAAACCGAUUCUUGGUAUGUGAAUCUUUGGGCACUUAACGAUUUAAUUCCGAUUCCCGGAGAGACAAUUUGAUUCAGGAUCGAUUCUCCAGUCAAACCGAUUCUUGCAAUGCUAGGUUGUGAAUCUUUGAGCACCUAAUGAUUCGAUAUAAUUCCUGGAAUGACAAUUCGAUUCAAAACAAGUCUCGAUUCAAAACUAUUCUUGGGGUGUGAAUCUUUGGGCACCUAACAAUUUAAUUCCGAUUCCUGGGGUGACGAUUCGAUUCAAGAUCGAUUCUUGCAAUGUAGGUUGUGAAUCUUUGAGCACCUAAUGAUCCGAUCGGAUUCCUGGAGUGACAAUUCAAUUCAAAACAAGUCUCGAUUCAAACAGAUUCUUGCAAUGUAGGAGUGUGAAUCUUAGGGCACCUAACGAUUUAAUUCCGAUUCCUUAGGUUACGAUUCGAUUUCGAAUCUAUUCUCGAAUCAAACCAAUUCCCACAAUGUAGGGGUGUGAAUCUUUGAGCACCUAACGAUUUAAUUCCGAUUCCUUAGGUUACGAUUCGAUUUCGAAUCUAUUCUCGAAUCAAACCAAUUCCCACAAUGUAGGGGUGUGAAUCUUUGAGCACCUAACGAUUUAAUUCCGAUUCCCGGAGUGACGAUUUGAUUCAGGAUCGAUUCUCCAAUCAAACAGACUCUUGCAAUGUAAGGUUGUGAAUCUUUGAGCACCUAAUGAUCCGAUCGGAUUCCUGGAGUGACAAUUCGAUUCAAAACAAGUCUCGAUUCAAACAGAUUCUUGCAAUGUACGGGUGUGAAUUUUUAAGCACCUAACGAUUUAAUUCCGAUUCCUCGGUUGACUAUUCGAUUCAGGAUCGAUUCUCCAAUCAAACCGAUUCUUGCAAUGUAGGGGUGUGAAUCUUUGGGCACCUAACGAUUUAAUUACGAUUCCUGGGGUUACGAUUCGACUCAGGAUCGGUUCUUGAUUCAACACGAUUCUUGAUUAAACACGAUUCUCGAUUCAAACCAUUGUCGCAAUAUAUGAUUCGAUCGGAUUCCUGGAAUGACAAUUCCAUUCAAAAUCGAUUCUCGAUUCAAAACAAGUCUCGAUUUAAAUUGAUUCUUGCAAUGUAGGGGAGUGAAUCUUUGGGCACCUAAAGAUUCGAUCUGAUUCCUGGGGUAAGGUUUCAGAAUCGAUUCUCGAUUCAAACCGAUUCUCGCAACGUAGGGGUGUGAAUCUUUGGGCACCUAACGAUUCAAUCUGAUUCCGUUUUCCUGGGGUGGUGAUUCGAUUCAAAAAUCCAUUCUCGAUUCAACACAAAUUCCAAUUCAAAUCGAUUCCAGCAAUGUAGGGGUGUGAAUCUUUGGGCACCUAACGAUUUAAUUACGAUUCCUGGGGUUACGAUUCGAUUCAGGAUCGGUUCUUGAUUCAACACGAUUCUUGAUUAAACACGAUUCUCGAUUCAAACCAUUGUCGCAAUAUAUGAUUCGAUCGGAUUCCUGGAAUGACAAUUCCAUUCAAAAUCGAUUCUCGAUUCAAAACAAGUCUCGAUUUAAACCGAUUCUUGCAAUGUAGGGGAGUGAAUCUUUGGGCACCUAAAGAUUCGAUCUGAUUCCUGAGGUAAGGUUUCAGAAUCGAUUCUCGAUUCAAACUGAUUCUCGCAACGUAGGGGUGUGAAUCUUUGGGCACCUAACGAUUCAAUCUGAUUCCGAUUCCUGGGUUGGUGAUUCGAUUCAAAAAUCCAUUCUCGAUUCAACACAAAUUCCAAUUCAAAUCGAUUCCAGCAAUGUAGGGGUGUGAAUCGUUAAGCUCCUAACGAUUCAGUUCUGAUUUCUGGAGUGACGAUUUGAUUUAAGAUGAAUUCAAAAAGAUUCUCAAUUCAAACCGAUUCGCGGGGUGACGAUUCGAUUCUCAAUUGAACACGAUUCUCGAUUCAAAAGCGAUUCUUGCAGUGUGGGAGUGUGAGUCUUUGGGCACCUACCUAACCUUCCGGUUGCAUGGAGAUGGCCUUUUUAAAAAAAACAAAACAUUUUUAAUAGUUUUACGAAUUGAUUCAGAAUCGGGAUGAAUACAAAUCGCAAUUGGGAAGUGAAUCGAGUAUUUUGUGCACAAGACAUCACUUGUGGAAGCCAUCUUUUGUUUUGGGUGACUGCUUUUUGCAAUCCAGCUGUUGAAUCUGGGAUUAUUUUUCAAUAACAGACAGAAAAGUAAGUACUUUCAUUGUUGACCAUUUCAUCCCACUGAUCACUAAGCGUUAUCAAGAUUGUCAUCCAUUACCUCGCAAAUUCUAUCACACGACGUUUCAGAGAGUAUUUUUCUGACUUCCUGAAGCAGAAGACGAUGACAGAAGUUGUUUUUGUAGAAGGGCUAAGUACUAGCAUCCAUGUGUCGGGUGUGAACGCACGCAGUACGCAUUGUAGCAGAGCGCGUGGAACUGAUCACAUGACCUUUUUCAGACCGUCUACUUUGUGUUUUCGAAGCUGGGUGUUGCCAAGCAGACUGUUUGCAUGGGCAGAGCACUCAGAUGCUCUCCAACCUCUAAAAGGGAUCCUGGGAUUGAUUUUACACACAUUUCAGCUUUCUGCAAUCCUGUAAGUUCUUGGCAUUUAUCCCUUUUUUGCUUUUGCAGAAGUGUAAAACUACCUGAAAUAGAUUUUGGAAUAUUUUAGGCUAGUAGAAAUCUAAUCCAUUAUUAUUAUUAUUACAAAAAAAAAAAGGAUUUUUUUUUUUCUCUGUUUAGUUAAUUCAUUAAAAAUGUUCAACAA